GACGAACGCUGGCGGCGUGCCUAAUACAUGCAAGUAGAACGCUGAAGGAGGAGCUUGCUCUUCUGGAUGAGUUGCGAACGGGUGAGUAACGCGUAGGUAACCUGCCUGGUAGCGGGGGAUAACUAUUGGAAACGAUAGCUAAUACCGCAUAAGAGUAGAUGUUGCAUGACAUUUACUUAAAAGGUGCAAUUGCAUCACUACCAGAUGGACCUGCGUUGUAUUAGCUAGUUGGUGGGGUAACGGCUUACCAAGGCGACGAUACAUAGCCGACCUGAGAGGGUGAUCGGCCACACUGGGACUGAGACACGGCCCAGACUCCUACGGGAGGCAGCAGUAGGGAAUCUUCGGCAAUGGACGGAAGUCUGACCGAGCAACGCCGCGUGAGUGAAGAAGGUUUUCGGAUCGUAAAGCUCUGUUGUAAGAGAGAACGAGUGUGAGAGUGGAAAGUUCACACUGUGACGGUAUCUUACCAGAAAGGGACGGCUAACUACGUG
rnacentral:rRNA from 1 species